UUCUACUUUAUGUUUAGUUAUAAAAGUAAAGUGCUUGGAAGAAGACCUGGAAUGCUUAAGGUCUUUGGGAGACAGAGGAUACUUGAUUUGUUUUGCUUUCCUUUGGCUGCCUACAGGC
rnacentral:snoRNA from 1 species